ensembl:lncRNA
CAAGCAGGUGAGGGAACGAGGUAGGAAAAAAGGGGAGAGGAGAGGAGACAUGGAUGAGAGGAGAAGAACAGUUAAAGUAGCCAGAAACAGGAAUGGGAGAGAAGGUAAGGAUGGGAGGAGUGGACAGGUGGGGAUGGGAGGAGCAGAGAGAUGGGGAUGGGAGGAACAGACAGGUGGUGAUGGGAGGAGUGGAGAGAUGGGGAUGGGAGGAACAGACAGGAGGGGAUGGGAGGAGUGGAGAGAUGGGGAUGGGAGGAGCAGACAGGUGGUGAUGGGAGGAGCAGACAGGAGGUGAUGGGAGGAGUGGAGAGAUGGGGAUGGGAGGAGCAGAGAGAUGGGGAUGGGAGGAGCAGACAGGAGGUGAUGGGAGGAGCAGACAGGAGGUGAUGGGAGGAGUGGAGAGAUGGGGAUGGGAGGAGCAGAGAGAUGGGGAUGGGAGGAGCAGACAGGAGGUGAUGGGAGGAGCAGACAGGAGGUGAUGGGAGGAGUGGAGAGAUGGGGAUGGGAGGAGCAGACAGGAGGGGAUGGGAGGAGCGGACAGGAGGGGAUGGGAGGAGCGGACAGGAGGGGAUGGGAGGAGCGGACAGGAGGGGUUGGGAGGAGCAGACAGGAGGGGUUGGGAGGAGCAGACAGGAGGGGUUGGGAGGAGCAGACAGGAGGGGAUGGGAGGAGCAGACAGGAGGGGAUGGGAGGAGCGGAACAAAGGGGAUGGGAGGAGUGGAGAGAACAGGAUGGGAGGAAUUGGGG